UACGUAGGCACCAAGCGUUGUCCGGAUUUAUUGGGCGUAAAGAGCUCGUAGGCGGUUCGGUAAGUCGGGUGUGAAAACUCUGGGCUCAACCCAGAGCCGCCACCCGAUACUGCUGUGACUCGAGUGCGGUAGGGGAGCGGGGAAUUCCUGGUGUAGCGGUGAAAUGCGCAGAUAUCUGGAGGAAUACCGGUGGCGAAGGCGGCAUCCUGGACCGACAUUGACGCUGAUGAGCGAAAGCUAGGGGAGCAAACGGG
rnacentral:rRNA from 1 species